UGACGCUUCCCCUUUCCUCCGUCCUUGUUGGCAUUGCUGACCAGCCUUCCCCGAAGACACCAUCGUUCUUCCUUACUAUCGCCUCAGCACCUUAUCUUCAAUGGUGACCGAAGAUGUGACGAAGUUGUGAAUCAUAUUUGGAAUUCAAGCUUGAACCAAGAGAUAAGUAAUCAGAUCAAGUAUAUUGCUCAGCACAUCGAGACUUGCUGCAAUGUAGGUAAUGGCAUCUCUUAGACUUCCACUUCGAGUCACUUCGCUGCACAGGGGUCAUGUUGUUUAA